UACAGGGGGGGCAAGCGUUGUUCGGAAUUACUGGGCGUAAAGGGCUCGUAGGCGGCCAACUAAGUCGGAUGUGAAAUCCCCAGGCUUAACCUGGGAACUGCAUCCGAUACUGGAUGGCUUGAAUCCGGGAGAGGGAUGCAGAAUUCCAGGUGUAGCGGUGAAAUGCGUAGAUAUCUGGAGGAAUACCGGUGGCGAAGGCGGCAUCCUGGACCGGCAUUGACGCUGAUGAGCGAAAGCUAGGGGAGCAAACGGG
rnacentral:rRNA from 1 species